rnacentral:rRNA from 1 species
UACAGAGGGUGCGAGCGUUGUCCGGAAUCACUGGGCGUAAAGGGCGCGUAGGUGGCCCGACAAGUCAAUGGUGAAAGUUCGACGCUUAACGUCGAAUCGGCCACUGAUACUGUUGGGCUGGAGCACUGUAGAGGCUCAUGGAAUUCCGGGUGUAGCGGUGGAAUGCGUAGAGAUCCGGAAGAACACCGGUGGCGAAGGCGGCAUCCUGGACCGGCAUUGACGCUGAGGCGCGAAAGCCAGGGGAGCAAACGGG